CACUUGGAAACAGGUGCUAAUACCGUAUAACAACUGAAACCGCAUGGUUUCAGUUUGAAAGAUGGUUCCGGCUAUCACUUCUGGAUGGACCCGCGGCGUAUUAGCUAGUUGGUGGAGUAAUGGUUCACCAAGGCAAUGAUACGUAGCCGACCUGAGAGGGUAAUCGGCCACAUUGGGACUGAGACACGGCCCAAACUCCUACGGGAGGCAGCAGUAGGGAAUCUUCCACAAUGGACGAAAGUCUGAUGGAGCAACGCCGCGUGAGUGAAGAAGGGUUUCGGCUCGUAAAACUCUGUUGUUGAAGAAGAACACAUCUGAGAGUAACUGUUCAGGUGUUGACGGUAUUUAACCAGAAAGCCACGGCUAACUACGUGCCAGCAGCCGCGGUAAUACGUAGGUGGCAAGCGUUGUCCGGAUUUAUUGGGCGUAAAGCGAGCGCAGGCGGUUUCUUAAGUCUGAUGUGAAAGCCUUCGGCUUAACCGGAGAAGUGCAUCGGAAACUGGGAGACUUGAGUGCAGAAGAGGACAGUGGAACUCCAUGUGUAGCGGUGAAAUGCGUAGAUAUAUGGAAGAACACCAGUGGCGAAGGCGGCUGUCUGGUCUGUAACUGACGCUGAGGCUCGAAAGCAUGGGUAGCGAAAAGGAUUAGAUACCCUGGUAGUCCAUGC
rnacentral:rRNA from 1 species